GAUAACAUUGAGAUUGAGCUAUAUUUGGAUAGUGAUUUAUAAUAAUUUAUAUUGAUGAAAAUUUUCAAGAGUUAAUAGGUUUUGAUUUUUUUUUUUAUACGAAAGAGUAAUAUGUGACCAGAAUAACUUAUAUAUUAUUGUCAACUAUUAGGUGACCAGAAGUUUACCAAAUAUACUAUGUUUAAGUCUUAAAAGAUCUUGAUGAUCACUACCUAUCACUAGUAGAAAAAUUGAAAAAGGCACCCCCGUUUUCCCACCGGUUCUUAAAAACUGGUGGGAAAAGAUUUGGGCGGGAUUCGGAUAUUUACUUUUCGCACCGGUUCCUUUGAAACCGGUGGCAAAUGUAUAUUUUCGAACCGGUUCGAACCGGUGCUAAAUGUGUUUAUUAAAAAAAAGGGUAAGUGGAUAUGCCACCGGUUUAACCCAAACUGGUGGGGAAAGUACGCAAAUUAAAAAAAAAAAAAACCGUGAAAUACUCUUCUUCAAUUCCUUCAGCACGAACAAUUUCAUUCCCCUGCUUCCCCUUCAAUUAAUCUUCUUCUCUCGUUCUCGCCUACCCUCACCAUCUCCUUCACGCAUAGGUUAUCCUCCAUUGAAGCGCAUUCCCUGGGCUUUCUCACCUCCAUUGCCGCGCAACUCCUCUCUUUCUCUCCAUAUAUAGCUAUCUCCUCCAUUGAAGCGCAUACUGUCAAGCUUUGUGACCUCCAUUGAAGCGCAUUCCGAGCUUUCCAACUCCAUUGUAGCAGCUUCGAGCUUGUGCACUUUGUUAAUCGUGACUUACUGGGUUUAGCAAAUGACUUUCUAUCCCUCGGAUUUCUCCCUGAAGGUGUUGAUAUCCUUUCUUCUUGCCAUUAACAAGUCCAGGGCAUUCAUAUAUGCAUACUUCGCUCUUCGUUGUCUUUCCUACAUUCUAAGUCUCCGGAGUGUAUUCUGCAUUGCUAUUGCCUAUGCGGCAGAUGUAGUUGAGGAUGACAAAAGAGUUGCAGCAUUCAGUUGGAUCACAGGUGUAAUGUCUGCUUCAUAUGUCUUGGGGAGUUUGCUAGCAAAGUUUAUUCCGGGAAAGUACAUAUUUGAGGCAUGUUUUUACCUCUUAAGAUGUUGCUGUUUAUUGUGAGUUAUCUUGGUUGUUAGCGUUUCUCUUACUAAUAGUGUUACAUUAAUUUCAGCUGUCAAUUCCUCUCUAGAUCAUGUCUCCGCUCUUUAUUCAACUAUUCGUGGCUGAGACUGCUAGGCGGGCACCUGUGACAAAGCAGUCACUCUGGUCCAUCUUUUUUAAGUCCAUCAGAGAGCGUUACAGUUCUAUUAAAUGUGCUGCUGCUGUAAUUUUUACCAAGUAUGUUCUUAUUGUUUGUCGAAUCUGUUCUCAAAUUGGAGUUUGAUUGAAUAGGCAUUUACAAGAUGAAUACUCAAAAUCGACUGUGUCAUCAUUCUACAAGAGCCGGUACUAUUUCAAGGAACGGCGAGAACCAAUGUGGAUCCACUUGGUCUUUAUUCCGAGGAAGAGAUAUGGAAGUACGCCCUGCCAUACCUGGGAUGCUUUCCAACUGGCUCAUGCACCAUUUAGUCUUUAUUGCAUUCGGAACAAUGCAGUGGUUCCCCAGAACAGCCAAAUGGCUGGUUGUAAUCUGGGGGGCCAUCUCUUCUUGGGGAGGCUCCCAUUGUUGAAGUUGCUUUGACCGAGGCUAAUGAUGGUCAUGAAGAAGAUGGCUCUGAGAGUAAUCUUUCUGCUGUUAAAAUCCAUGACGAUGAAGUGAGUGUGAGAUUUUUGGUCUGUGGGGUGGCAUGCUCAUUGGAUGCAUAUUUGUUGGGAUGUUUGGAGGAUGGACUGAAUGCACUUUUGGGCAUAGAGGGCAAUUUCUGGUCAUGAAUGUGGCUGGCAAUUUUGACAGCUCGUGCUGGGUCUGGUGCUCGCUGCCUAGCUGUGGUGUAGCUUCUUCUGGUUGCUGUUUUGCUUGUAGCUGCUGCUUGGGUUGCUAGUCGUGGUGUGGCUGUGCUGUCUUAUUCUCUGUUGCAGGCUUGGGGUCAGUGGGAGCAGUCUGCAGUCUUUUUUUUUUCUAUUUAUCAAAGAUGUAGUGCUCUUUAAUGGAUGUAUGACACAAAUAUUGAAGAAAAUAUAUGUGUUUAUGUAUAUUAUGAUUAUAUAUAAAUAUUUGUACAAUUUAAGUGAAAAAAAUUGAAAAAAUUUUUAUUUUUAUU